GGGAACUUGGUCUCGUGGUAUGAUUCUCGCUUAGGGUGCGAGAGAUCAUGGGUUCAACUCCCACAGUUCCCC